AAUAGAUCCCGGGUAGUCCAUGCCGUAAACGUUGGGCACUAGGUGUGGGACUCACUCAACGGGUUCCGUGCCGUAGCUAACGCAUUAAGUGCCCCGCCUGGGGAGUACGGCCGCAAGGCUAAAACUCAAAGGAAUUGACGGGGGCCCGCACAAGCAGCGGAGCAUGUUGCUUAAUUCGAGGCAACGCGAAGAACCUUACCUGGGUUUGACAUGUACGGAAAAGCCGCAGAGAUGCGGUGUCCUUUUGGGCCGUACACAGGUGGUGCAUGGUUGUCGUCAGCUCGUGUCGCGAGAUGUUGGGUUAAGUCCCGCAACGAGCGCAACCCUUGUCCUAUGUUGCCAGCGGGUAAUGCCGGGGACUCGUAGGAGACUGCCGGGGACAACUCGGAGGAAGGUGGGGAUGACGUCAAAUCAUCAUGCCCCUUAUGUCCAGGGCUGCAAACAUGCUACAAUGGCCAGUACAAAGGGCUGCUAUACCGCGAGGUUGAGCGAAUCCCAUAAAGCUGGUCUCAGUUCGGAUUGGAGUCUGCAACUCG
rnacentral:rRNA from 1 species